GCCCCGAUGACGGAACUGGUAUACGUGCCGGCCUCAAAAGUCGGAUUCUGUGGGUUCGAGUCCCACUCGGGGUACCA
rnacentral:tRNA from 1 species